ACGCGGUGAAUACGUUCCCGGACCUUGUACACACCGCCCGUCAAGCCAUGGGAGUCGGGAGACCUGAAGCGGUAGGUUAAAGACACCGUUAGGGUAAAAUCGGCGACUGGGGCU
rnacentral:rRNA from 1 species